AAUAAGUAUAGCCGUGAGUUUCCGCGUCUAACUUUAAUCAUCCGUCUUAUUUGAAUUUUUUUUAUAAUUAGCAUUUUUGUUGUUAUAAGAUGAUAAAACAUAAAUAAUACUUUACUCGUUACUUAUGUUUUUAAAUUUUUUUUCAAAUAAGACGAAUGGUUAAAGUUGGACACGAAAAACUAUAGCUGCACUUAUU
rfam:Oryza meridionalis cultivar OR44 (W2112) chromosome 2, whole genome shotgun sequence.